AUUGAACGCUGGCGGCAGGCUUAACACAUGCAAGUCGAGCGGAGAUGAGGUGCUUGCACCUUAUCUUAGCGGCGGACGGGUGAGUAAUGCUUAGGAAUCUGCCUAUUAGUGGGGGACAGCAUUCCGAAAGGAAUGCUAAUACCGCAUACGCCCUACGGGGGAAAGCAGGGGAUCUUCGGACCUUGCGCUAAUAGAUGAGACUAAGUCGGAUUAGCUAGUUGGUGGGGUAAAGGCCUACCAAGGCGACGAUCUGUAGCGGGUCUGAGAGGAUGAUCCGCCACACUGGGACUGAGACACGGCCCAGACUCCUACGGGAGGCAGCAGUGGGGAAUAUUGGACAAUGGGCGGAAGCCUGAUCCAGCCAUGCCGCGUGUGUGAAGAAGGCCUUUUGGUUGUAAAGCACUUUAAGCGAGGAGGAGGCUACCUGGAUUAAUACUCUAGGAUAGUGGACGUUACUCGCAGAAUAAGCACCGGCUAACUCUGUGCCAGCCGCCGCCGUAAUAC
rnacentral:rRNA from 1 species